AAUAUUGAACAUGUAAGGGCCGCCAUAAACGUCGUUUCGAAUCGAUUACUCUACGACACUGUGGAAGAAGGUAUCGUCAUAUUUUUACUAAAUUUUGGAGUAUUUUUCGAAACAAUGUUAUUUUAGGACCAAGUUUCAAAGGCGUCAAAUCUUCAAAUGUAAAAAUGAAGGCGUGAACAAUUCUCGACAAACAUAUGGUCUGUGUUAAGUCAGACCGGACACAGGAUAAAGAAUUUCUUCAGCUACAUUCGGCUUUUGCCAGAAUUGUAAUAUGUUACGAUUAGCGUGAAUUAUGACCAACAUAAAUUUCGAAUUAUAAUGUGAAGGAUGCUGCGAUUGAAACUUUAAACUUGUUUUUCCAGAAAUCAAUACGAUGUCACUUGGCCCGGUUGGACUUAACACCGACCAUAUGAUAACGGCGUAAAAGCCAACUGUCAAAAUUCACUUUGAAUGAAAAUUCCGGACAAUCGGUCACUCACCAAUUACAGAUUUUGGUAGUAAACAAUAGUUCUCUCUUACUUUGAGUGCGAUGAACGGUGUUUGGUCAGUAACGGUUAGUCCAGAAUUUCCCUUUAAAGCGGCCCUUAUACGUCCAAUAUUUUUGUCAGUGCACGGUGUUGACGAUAUUGCUUCAAUACGUCAAUCCCAUUUGAAAUGCACAUCGUCAAUGCAACUUUUUUACAUUACACGUACAAUACUUUUGUCAAUACUCUCAAGUAUUUACAAAAAUAUUGAACGUGUAAGGGCUACUGUAGUCGAGAAUUCUGUCUGUUACUUUUGUUUUCGGGACCACUGUGUAAUGGGGUAAAUUAGUUUCACAUACCUACACUGAUAAAAAUCGAAACGAUAAUUCUAUUUGCUUCAAACCACUUAAAAUCCAUAUGAAGAAUAAAUGUUAAUGUUAUCAUGCGCACACAUACCUUUUAUGUGUCAACUGUAUAAACUAUGUAUGCACACACAUCAGUUAUAUGUGCGUAUUGUUAUAGAAUCUUCUAUAACUUAUUAUACUUCUUGUAAAUACACACAUUAGGCUUAUGUGCCAGCAAAUAGUGUCUACAUGCCUCAGCUAAUUGCACAAAUCUAUGUGUAAAAUCAAUAGGCAUAACGUUUACAUUUUUUUGAGUGUACGAAAGCCAUUCAACGAAGUGACACUGCAGCAUGUUGCACAUUUAAAAAAAUAUCUAAUCGCAGAAAACAGUUGCGUAAAGAGUGUCAAAAAAGCCUACCUCCCGAGCACAAUUGGAAUCCAUCUCUGAUACCUCUGCAGCAAAGUUGGAGUUCUGGUUGCUCAAUAGGUAUAGAAUUUUUUCGGCUUCACUCACUACACACUCUUUAUGUACAUUCAAAAAAAUGUAAACGUUAUGCCUAUUGAUUUUACACAUAGAUUUUUGCAAUUAGCAGAGGCAGAUAGACACUAUUUGCUGGCACAUAUUAAUCUUACAUUCACUUUUCAUAACUAUAAGGCACAUAAAACCGAUUCAAUAACAAUACGCACAUAUAAAUUAUGUGUGUGCAUACAUAGUUUAUACAGUUGACACAUAGAAAGUAUGUGUGCGCGUGAUAACAUUAGCAUUUCUUCUUCAUAGAUAUAUCUAGCUGCGUUGUUAUAAUGCCGUUUUGACGUUUGAAUUGGGAGGAAAACAAAUCUAAACGAAUUGGGAGGAAAACAAACCGCUUCUGGGCUUAAGGGGAGGGCGGUAGUAUAAAAAUGCGAAAUCUCAGUGUAUUUUAAACGUCAGAUAUCUCAAUAUGGAUUUUAAGUGAUUUGAGGCAAAUAGAACUAACGUUUGGAUUUUUUUCACUACGAGUGCGGUGGUAUGAAAAAGUUCCGUUGUGGUACAUGCGGUAAAGCAUUUGCUCAAAUUACACCGAUGAAAAGACAUGUGGAAAAUUGUCAGUCAAAUCAAUGAGAGGAUGCUACGGAUCUACAUAAACACACUAUAAUAUUACAGUUCUAAGCUUGCGUUUAUUAAUACUCAAUAACUUGGUUAUCAAAAGACAUCGUGAAAGUAUGUAACCUUGAACAUGUAGCUGUAUCUCACCUGAAAUGACCUAUCGGCUUUGUCAUAUGCAUUGUGUAUAAAAAAGAAACUUACAUACCUAAAAAUGUGAUAGAAAACUGCUGCGUUUUGAACAGUAUUACUUAAGAAAUUGAAGUGUAAAUUAGAUUUAAAGAAUUCAAUGUCAUGAAAUAUAAAAAUGAGAAAAA